UUUUUUAAUUGAAAACUUGUAUGAAUGGUUGAAUGAGAAAUUAACUUUUUUAUUUAAAAUAAUGAAUUUUACUUUUUAAUUAAAAGGUUAAAAUGUUGUUAAAAGACGAGAAGACCCUAUAGAGUUUUAUAAUUUAUAAAUUAAUUAUAAAAAAGAAUAAUUUUAUUUUUAAUUAAUUAAUUAUUUUAUUGGGGUGAUAAUAUAAUUUAAAUAACUUAUAUUUUUUUUAUACAUUAAUAUAUGAUAAAUUGAUCCAAUUUUAUUGAUUAAAAAUUUAAAUUACCUUAGGGAUAACAGUGUAAUUUUUUUUUAAGUUCAUAUUAAUAAAAAAUUUUGC
rnacentral:rRNA from 1 species